GUGGAAAGUAAAUGAUCCACAAGUUAUUAGAUCAAAAUCACAUCGUUCAACACUUCUCAAAAUAUAUCCGAUAACUGAAUGAAAAGAACAUCAUUGCUUCAUUGUACCUAGAAACUUGGGCUCAACCCACAAGUUGAAGGUGUUUGAUAUUUUGGAUCUGUUUUCCAGGGUUCAAACCCUUGGGACAGGCACGGGCACAGUUCAGAAUAGUAUGACAACGAUAGAGCUUGAAUUCAUCAUUUAUUGCCUCAAGUCGUUCCUUGGUAUAUUCAUCACGGCUAUCGCUUAUCCACCUAUUGGCAUGGAGCAAAGCUGCUGGUCCAAGAUAAGACUCCGGGUUCCACCAAUAGCUGGGGCACGACGUACUACAGCAAGCACACAAUAUACAC
rnacentral:misc_RNA from 1 species